rnacentral:rRNA from 1 species
AUGCGGAGGGUGUUCGACGAGCUGCCGCGCGUGCGGGACGUCGUGACCUGGAACGCGGUCCUUGCCGGGUACGUCCGAGCGGGCAUGGUGAGGGUUGCGCGAGAGAUGUUUGAGGAAAUGCCGGUGAGAGAUGAGGUUUCCUGGAGCACCGUGGUGGGCGGGUAUGUGAAGGAGGGGGAGCUGGAUGUGGCGCUGGCAUUGUUUAGGGAUAUGGUGGAGAAUGGGGUCAGGGUGAAUGAGGCUGCGGUGGUGACGGCAUUGUCGGCGGCCGCACAGCUGGGUUUGCUUGAGCAUGGCAGGUUUGUGCACCAGGUUGUCCAUCAAGAACGGAUGCCGAUCAGUGUGAAUAUAGGGGCUGCCAUGGUGGAUAUGUAUGCCAAGUGUGGGUGUGUAGCAGUGGCCAGGGAAGUUUUCGAUGGGAUGCCUAGGAGGGAUGUUUUUGCAUGGAACGCCAUGAUCUGCGGACUUGCUGCUCAUGGGUUGGGACAGGAUGCAGUGGAACUCUUUGAACAGUUUCUCGCCGAGGGUUUGAGUCCAACGAACAUUACAUUUGUUGGCGUGCUAAAUGCCUGCAGCCGCUUUGGCCUUGUUGCUGAGGGGCGGCGGUAUUUUGAAUUGAUGGCUGAAAAAUAUAGUGUUGAGCCGGAAAUGGAGCAUUAUGGCUGCAUGGUUGAUCUUCUAGGCCGGGCUGGUCUUAUUCAAGAAGCCAUUGAAUUGAUCGAAGGGAUGCCUAUUGCACCUGACCCGGUUCUCUGGGGCACUGUACUCUCGGCCUGCAAGAAACAUGGCCUGGUGGACUUGGGGAUCAAGGUUGGUAACAAGCUAGUUGAACUGGAGCCAGCUCAUGAUGGCCACUAUGUCCUCCUUGCAAGUAUUUAUGCCAAGGCAAAGAAAUGGGAUGAAGUCAGGGAAGUCAGGAAACUGAUGUCUAGUCGGGGUACCAGUAAGUCAGCUGGCUGGAGCUUGAUGGAAGCACAAGGAAACGUGCAUAAGUUUCUAGUAGGAGACAGAGAUCACAAGGAUUCCGUUCGGAUAUAUAACAUGCUCGACAUGAUUAACAGAAAGUUGGCAGAUGCAGGGUAUGUACCAGAGGUGUCGUCUGUAUUGCAUGACAUUGGAGAUGAAGAGAAAGUGCAUGCAAUCAAGGUGCAUAGCGAGCGUCUGGCAAUUGCUUAUGGGUUCAUAGUUACGGAAGUUGGCAACCCAAUCCGUAUUGUUAAGAACCUUCAGGUGUGUGGGGAUUGUCAUGAAUUCAGUAAGAUGGUGACAAAGGUUUUCAAUAGGGAGAUUAUUGUGAGAGAUGGUAGUAGAUUCCAUCAUAUGAAAGAAGGGAAGUGUUCUUGCCUUGACUAUUGGUAG